rnacentral:lncRNA from 1 species
UUCCCCCCUGUAAAAUUAAUUGAAUUGGGGGUGUUUGUUUGUUUUGUUUGUUUGUUUGUUUGUUUCUGUAUGGGGUCUAUAUUAUUGUUACCGGAGAAGUUUCAUGUUUAGUUUGGAAAGUUUUUUCUUUUAUUUUAGGUACAGCGCGCGCGCCACAUCACGUGACACGGGUUUAUAAUAACGAAAAGAUAGUCUUUUUAUUCCUUUUUAGGUGGGACGUU